GUUUAUAGCUAUGAAUAUACCUGUUCUGAUGUUGGAAGCUAAGCAGGGUCAGGCCUGGUUAGUACUUGGAUGGCAGACUGCCUGGGAAUACUGGGUGCUGUAGGCU
rnacentral:rRNA from 1 species